rnacentral:rRNA from 1 species
GAUGAACGCUGACAGAAUGCUUAACACAUGCAAGUCUUUGGCGAAGCUGUGCUUGCACAGCCUAGCCAAGGCGGACGGGUGAGUAACGCGUAAGGAACUUGCCCUGCAGUCAGGGAUAACAGACGGAAACGACUGAUAAGACCUGGUAAAGUCAGGCGGACUCAUGUCCAGCCUGAUGAAAAGUGAUGCUGCAGGAGAGCCUUGCGUCCUAUUAGCUUGUUGGUGGGGUAACGGCCCACCAAGGCGAUGAUAGGUAGCCGGCCUGAGAGGGUGGACGGCCACAAGGGGACUGAGAUACGGCCCUUACUCCUACGGGAGGCAGCAGUGGGGAAUAUUGGACAAUGGGGGCAACCCUGAUCCAGCAAUUCUGUGUGCACGAUGAAGGUUUUCGGAGUGUAAAGUGCUUUCAGCAGGGAAGAAAAAAAUGACGGUACCUGCAGAAGAAGCGGCGGCUAAAUACGUG